UACAGAGGGGGCAAGCGUUAUUCGGAAUUAUUGGGCGUAAAGGGCGCGUAGGCGGCUUUGCAAGUGACGGGUGAAAUCCCUCGGCUUAACCGAGGAACUGCCUGUCAAACUGCAUGGCUUGAGACCGGGAGAGGUGAGUGGAAUUCCCAGUGUAGCGGUGAAAUGCGUAGAUAUUGGGAGGAACACCAGUGGCGAAGGCGGCGUUCUGGACUGUCUCUGACACUGAAGAACGAAAGCCAGGGGAGCAAACGGG
rnacentral:rRNA from 1 species